UGUACAGCACUUUGUAUGCAGCGAUGGCUGUUUGAAAGUGCUCUAUAAAUACUGUUGACUUGACUUGACUUGACAUUGUUUUGUUGUUCACUUUCUAGAUUGGUUUGCGUAAACAAGUUGCGGCCAUCGCCACUUCGAUUGCCAAUUACCGGUACAUCAAAUGGAUACCUGCAGGAGUGGGUUGUAGUUUUCAUGCAUUGAUAAACCCGCCCCGCCUCAUGACUUGCUUGGCAGAGACUACCAGGAUGAAACCACAAGGACGAUGGUGGAAGGCAGAGGUGGAAGGAAAAAUGUUGCAAGAAUAAUGAGUGAGUCACAUACUUUGAUGAUUGAUUUCACUUUUUAGACAUCACAAUAUUUACGGGAUGGGUAGCAAUUCAUGAUUGACUAUCACUGACUGGAAAACGAUCACAAAAACCUGUGUUUUGGGACUGCCCUGUCAGAUAUUACCCCUUAAAAAAUGAAUCGAGUGGAGCUGGUUGGUGACAAGUGGAUGUUUUUAAUAGCCUACUCAAUAAAACCAGAGACCGACAUGG